UACAGAGGUCUCAAGCAUUGUUCGGAUUCAUUGGGCGUAAAGGGUGCGUAGGUGGCGCCGUAAGUCGGGUGUGAAAUUUCGGAGCUUAACUCCGAAACUGCAUUCGAUACUGCGGUGCUUGAGGACUGGAGAGGAGACUGGAAUUCAUGGUGUAGCAGUGAAAUGCGUAGAGAUCAUGAGGAAGACCAGUGGCGAAGGCGGGUCUCUGGACAGUUCCUGACACUGAGGCACGAAGGCCAGGGGAGCAAACGGG
rnacentral:rRNA from 1 species